GGCGGGGCUUUUGUCUCUCGCUGCAGCCAGAGCUUGGGAUCGCUUUCUGCUAUUCAACGUCCUCCACCUCUGCCCCCCUCUCGCCCCAGCCGGUGACAGGCUGUUGCCCUGUGAUCUGCAGGUCCUGGGACGUGCACAGACAGCUAAGAUGCCAGGACAUUCCAGAAGGUGGGAAAGGCACCUGAGUAAUUUGACUCUCCUGCCUGGACCCAGCGUACAGAUGGGAUUGUGCUUCAUUGCUGGACCCAGCAUUUAGGGAUCGUCACUCCCGUGGAUGAUCAAAGCUACUCCGGGGGCUGAGGCAGGAGAAUCGCUUGAACUCGGGAAGCAGAAGUUGCAGUGAGCCAAGGUCGCACCACUGCACUCCAGCCCAGGCGACAUUGUGAGACUCCAUCUCAAAAAAAAAAAAAAGAAAAAAAGUGUACUAACAAGACCCAGCACACAGAGGAGACUUUUACCAUUGUAUGAACACCCAUCAAACAGUACACAUCAUCAUUGUGAGUUCUGAAUCUCACACAUAGAGGAAGUCAAAGGUGGAAAACUUGACUCUCAUAUUUGGAUCCAGUCCACAGGUGUGAUUUUGACGCACACUUCUGCCCAGCACCUGAGUAAUGUGAUUCUUCAGAAUUGGCCCGGCCCACAAAUAGGAUUGUGCCACACUGCUGGACCCAGUGCCUAAGUGAUGUAACUCUAUUCUUCUGCCUUGGUGCUACUCGAAAAAGACAUUGUAACAUAUCUCAGAGCCUUACACCCAGGUAAUGUGAGUCUCCUCUUCUGCCUUGCUGCUGCACACAGAAGCGGAAUAUGUACAGGAUUGUUAAUCUCAUCUUGGAUCUUCCUGCACUUGUGAUUGUGACACAUGCCUCUGUGUAGAACCUGAGUGAGUUUACUCUCCUGCCUGGAUUUAACCCAUAGAUGGAAUCGUGACAUAUCACUGUACCAGAAACUAGGUGAUGUGACUCUAUUUUCUUGCCUCUGUGUUUUUAUAUGGGGCAUCGUGACAUAUCACUGGGCCUUGCACCCAAGUGAUGGGAGUUUUCUCUCCUGCUUUGGUGCCGUCCACAAUGAAAAUUGUGAAAUAUUGCUGCCCUCCCCACUAGGUUAUGUUACUCUCCUGCCUCUGCUUUGCCCACAUGGGUCACUGUGACAUAUUGCUGGGUCUAAAACCCAGGUAAUGUCACUCUCUUGUUUGGGUUCUGCCUGCAGGAGUCAUUGUCACAUAUCUCUAUGCUCAUCACCCAGGUAAUAUGAUUCCCUUUUACUGCUUAGUUCCUUCUCACAAAACAACUUGUGACAUAUUGCUAGGCCCAAUACACCUAGCUGGUGUAACUCUUCUUUUCUUUUCUUUCCUUUUUUUUUUUUUUUUUUUGAGAUGGAGUCUCACUCUGUUGCCCAGGCUGGAGUGCAGCGGCAUGAUUUCAGCUCACUACAGCCUCUGCCUCCUAGGUUGAAGCGAUUGUCCUGACUUGGCCUCCCAAGUAGCUGGGAUUAAAGGCAUGUGCCACCACGCCCGGCUAAUUUUUGUAUUUAUAGUAGAGACAGGGUUUCGCCAUGUUGGCUAGGCUGGUUUCGAACUUCUAACCUCAGGUGAUCCUCCUGCCUCGGCCUCCCAAAGUACUGGAAUUACAGGCAUGAGCCACUGCACCUGGCCUGAUUCUUCUCUUCUUUCUAGGUUUCAACUGCAGCAGAGAUUGUAACAAACCACUGGGCCCAGCCGCAUAAUGAUGUUACUCUUUUGCCUUGGGCCUGCCCUCAGAAGGCACUGUCACAUAUUCAUGGGCCCAACGCCAAGGUGAUAUGUGUCUCCAGCCUGGACCCUGCCCACAGGGGGCAUUGUGACAUAUCUCUUGGCCCAUCAGAUGUUUGAUUGUUAUCCCCUCCCCUCUUCUACCCUGUGUUUGCCUAUAAAAGACACAGUCAUAUGUUCCUGGGCCCAGCACCUAGGUGUUGUCUUACUGGAAUGUGUCCACAUGGGGAUUGUGAUAUGUCACGUGGCCCAGUACUUAACUUGAUGUGACUCUCCUCUCAUGCCUAGGCCUUGUAGAGAAUCCCCUUCCCCUUUUGUUUUCCUUUUUUUCUUUGCAGAUCCAGGAGAUAAUCAACUAAGAGCCAGGCACCCGUUUAGGUCUAAUAAACAUUUUACAAACUGCUCUCUCUUUUAAUUCACCUAUCUGAGAGAUUCCUCUGUACAAUAAAACUUGGUCUCCACAAUCCUUUACCUUAACCUAAACCUUCCCUUUCAUUGAUCCCAGGUCUUCAGAUUCCACCACUUGUCAACCACAAAAUAUUUAAAUUUACCUGGAAGCCGCCCGCUUUGAGUUGUCCCGCCUUUCUGAACCAAACCAAUAUAUUCCUGCAAAACCGGCCAUGAUUAAAACAUCAAAAAA
ensembl:lncRNA LINC01224 long intergenic non-protein coding RNA 1224